rnacentral:lncRNA from 1 species
UCAGCCUGAAGCCCAGGUGGGCCACUGGCCAGGUGAGGCCCUGUGUGCCUUUCCUAGCCUAGCGCUACCCUCCUGAGGCCAGCCUUGCCCCAACCUGAAGCUUGGUCUCCACUGGGGGGCCACAUGGCCUAGUGAAUGACCAGCCAGGCUUCCCCAGAGGAGGCUAGGCCUCCAAGGCCCGGGCCAAAGAGCUUCCUGCUCACAGAGAUGAGGAAUGCAUCAGGGUUUCUGAAGACAGCUGGAGCCCCCCUUGUGUCAGCGACCUGGCUUCCGCCCAGCCCCCCUCCGGCAAUGCCCAUGGUGGCAGCCGGGCCACAGAUGGAGCGCGUGGACAACGGCUCGCAGGGGGCCCCCCAGCUCUUCCUCACCAGCGCAUUGGCCCGAGGCGUUUCAGGCGUAUUUG